rnacentral:rRNA from 1 species
GAUGAACGCUGGCGGCGUGCCUAAUACAUGCAAGUCGAGCGAACAGACGAGGAGCUUGCUCCUCUGACGUUAGCGGCGGACGGGUGAGUAACACGUGGAUAACCUACCUAUAAGACUGGGAUAACUUCGGGAAACCGGAGCUAAUACCGGAUAAUAUAUUGAACCGCAUGGUUCAAUAGUGAAAGACGGUUUCGCUGUCACUUAUAGAUGGAUCCGCGCCGCAUUAGCUAGUUGGUAAGGUAACGGCUUACCAAGGCGACGAUGCGUAGCCGACCUGAGAGGGUGAUCGGCCACACUGGAACGGAGACACGGUCCAGACUCCUACGGGAGGCAGCAGUAGGGAAUCUUCCGCAAUGGGCGAAAGCCUGACGGAGCAACGCCGCGUGAGUGAUGAAGGUCUUCGGAUCGUAAAACUCUGUUAUUAGGGAAGAACAAAUGUGUAAGUAACUAUGCACGUCUUGACGGUACCUAAUCAGAAAGCCACGGCUAACUACGUG